UGCUGUUGCAAUUAAUGACGGUCUUAUAACGCCGGUUCUUCAGGAUGCUGAUAAGAUGGAUUUGUAUCUUUUAUCUCAAAAGUGUAUCUCAAAAGUGGAAGGAGCUGGUGGAGAAAGCCCGUUCAAAGCAACUUCAACCUCACGAGUAUAAUUCAGAAACAUUUACUCUGUCCAAUUUGGGCAUGUUUAGAGUGGAUAGAUUCAACACUAUACUUUCGCCAGGC